GCGGCAGGCUUAACACAUGCAAGUCGAGCGGUAGCACAAGGGAGCUUGCUCCCUGGGUGACGAGCGGCGGACGGGUGAGUAAUGUCUGGGAAACUGCCUGAUGGAGGGGGAUAACUACUGGAAACGGUAGCUAAUACCGCAUAACGUCGCAAGACCAAAGAGGGGGACCUUCGGGCCUCUUGCCAUCAGAUGUGCCCAGAUGGGAUUAGCUAGUAGGUGGGGUAAUGGCUCACCUAGGCGACGAUCCCUAGCUGGUCUGAGAGGAUGACCAGCCACACUGGAACUGAGACACGGUCCAGACUCCUACGGGAGGCAGCAGUGGGGAAUAUUGCACAAUGGGCGCAAGCCUGAUGCAGCCAUGCCGCGUGUGUGAAGAAGGCCUUCGGGUUGUAAAGCACUUUCAGCGAGGAGGAAGGUGGUGAACUUAAUACGUUCAUCAAUUGACGUUACUCGCAGAAGAAGCACCGGCUAACUCCGUGCCAGCAGCCGCGAUAAUACGGAGGGUGCAAGCGUUAAUCGGAAUUACUGGGCGUAAAGCGCACGCAGGCGGUUUGUUAAGUCAGAUGUGAAAUCCCCGGGCUCAACCUGGGAACUGCAUUUGAAACUGGCAAGCUAGAGUCUCGUAGAGGGGGGUAGAAUUCCAGGUGUAGCGGUGAAAUGCGUAGAGAUCUGGAGGAAUACCGGUGGCGAAGGCGGCCCCCUGGACGAAGACUGACGCUCAGGUGCGAAAGCGUGGGGAGCAAACAGGAUUAGAUACCCUGGUAGUCCACGCUGUAAACGAUGUCGAUUUGGAGGUUGUGCCCUUGAGGCGUGGCUUCCGGAGCUAACGCGUUAAAUCGACCGCCUGGGGAGUACGGCCGCAAGGUUAAAACUCAAAUGAAUUGACGGGGGCCCGCACAAGCGGUGGAGCAUGUGGUUUA
rnacentral:rRNA from 1 species